AUUCUUUAUAUGUAUUAUGAUGGAUUUUAGAUAUGCUCACUUGAUAUCAUUUUUUCUCUUGACUCUAAAACAGGUAUGUACAAGCUAUUUAAGAGGGCCAAGAAGGCGGAAUAGCCUCGCUUAUACAGUUUCUGACUGCUAACAGUGCCAUCAUCAAUGAGCUUCACUCUAAAGUCUGUUCAUGGGAGGGUUGGGCUUCCUUCAAUGCUAGGGAUGAAAUUGGAGAAUAAACAAGGGGUUGACAUGCUUGUGAAGUUCUAUUAGGUAUGCUUCUCUCUCUCCCGAAAUCUUUCGGUUCCUGAAGCACAAACCCUGUCAGUUUGUCCAUACGUAGAUUUUUUUCCUUCUUGUUGGUGCACUAUUCUCGGGUUUUUAGACCAUUUGAGAGGGCCAAGAAGGCGGAAUAGCCUCGCUUAUACAGUUUCUGACUGCUAACAGUGCCAUCAUCAAUGAGCUUCACUCUAAAGUCUGUUCAUGGGAGGGUUGGGCUUCCUUCAAUGCUAGGGCUGAAAUUGGAGAAUAAUUAAACAAGGGGUUGACAUGCUUGUGAAGUUCUAUUAGGUAUGCUUCUCUGUCUCCCCAAAUCUUUCGGUUCCUGAAGCACAAACCCUGUCAGUUUGUCCAUAUGUAGAUUUUUUCCCUUCUUGUUGGUGCACUAUUCUCGGGUUUUUUGUGUGUUUCUUUCUUGCGGCCAGCUUGACCAUUUACUCUGGAAGGAGUUAUUCAACUAAAAAAGAGCGAACAAGUUGAGAUUCUUUUGUCUUGUCUAUAUCGUUCCUACAAUGUUGUUUGGGUUGAUUUUCUUGCUUUUUUGUAGUUUGUGGAGAGAGUUAAGUAGUAGGGUAGCCUUUCUAUGGUGGCGAUCGCAUGCUGUGCAGCCGAGUGUAGUUAAUUUGGUGGUUCAUGUUACAAGAAAAAUCAUUGCUCUGUUUGUAGGUUUCAGGUUCCUUUUGUUGUGAGGUGCUCCAUGGCCCUUUGCUUGGAUGCUCUGUGGUGAGGCAACAGAGAUAAUUAGCAGUCUUGUAUACUAACCAAGAGAACAUCCAUUUCAUGAUUUUGGGUAUUGGGUUCUCUUUGCUAAACCAGCUGCAGCUAGAUGAGAGAAGUAGUAAGUAAUAUCAGGUGCAUAAUUUCUAUCAGUCUGUGUAUUCUAAUGACUACCGAUAUCCCCUUUCCUGUAGUGUGGCACUGAAUCAAUAGUCAUUUUUGCACAAUCAUGUGUCAUGUUCCUUUAUGAAUCAUAUAAUAUCAAGAGACAACUUAUGGAACUGUUCAGAUUUUUAUGGCAGCCCUAACUUCGCUAGGUAAUAACUUUAUUUGGUCUUUAUCCAACUGGUUUUUAUCAUAUCAAAUUACUGCAGAGCGUACUGAUUUUUUUGUCACCGAGCAACGGUGCCUUUCAGUUCAACUAGCAGUUUAAACCUCCGAAGGUUUAAGGUGAACAAUGAGAUAUUUUUGGGUUUGUUUGAACUGUUGUGUCUGUCCACUUGAGUGCCUCCAUAUGUGGUUCUCCUGUUGCAUUAGUUAUAUUAUUAUUUUUGAUCAUCUUGCCCAAAACUAAAGUUUCACUACAUGAAAAAUGACUACUUUAUUUUAUACCAUGUUAUCCUCUUUCUCUUCCCCACAGGACAGCGUCUCCCCGUGUUCUCGAUCCGGCGCCGCCACAUAUCAUGAUUCUGGAUUGGGCGCAGGUCAUCGCCAUAAGAGAGCCUGGCUGGUGUGGUCUUCAUGCUUGGUGUGGAGAAGCACGGGGGAUGAGUAGGACGGGCAUGGGGAAGGAGCAGCUAGGCCGGAGCUCCGGCGUUGUUCGCGUCAUGGUCGAAUGGAGCCGGCCAUCACUAUGGGCUGCUGCUCGCCGGUCGUCGUUUAUCCAAUCUCAGUUGCUCAUCUUUGGCUUCACCAUCUUCCUCCCCUGAUCAUGCAUCUAUUUUAGAUCAUAUAAUUAUGCUAUAUCAUAUAUGUUGUUUAGUUCAGACUUGUGCAUGUGCAUGCAUUGGCAUUGAUUUAGACAGAGAUAUUGCAUGAUUUGUACAUAGAAGGAGUACGGAUGAUCUAGGAAUAAAUGUUUGAAUAAAGUUAGUAGUGAGAUUUAGAUAGAGGUUACCUGCACUGUUCUGUUUUAUGUAGAUUCUAAGCUGCAAAAUCAUACAUUGUCCUGUUAGUAAUUUGUUUGAGUUGUGAGUUUACGCAUUUUCCCUUGGAAUGUUUGUAUGUGUGAUCACUGGCUUUUAGGUUCCCAGUGGUAUAUCAUGAGAAGUUUUUUACUCUGCACCGGGUGAUCAACUACAUAUUUAGACGAAUACACUAUUCAGGACCAGGAACAUUAAGAUUUCUAAUGUUGUUUUCCUCUUUCAAGAUUGCAGUUUUCAUAAGCCUUAGAUAGCUAAGGUACACAUAGUUUUCAUUUAAC
rnacentral:lncRNA from 1 species